AUCAGCUGUGUUGCAAGCUGCUGAGAGGUUGAGUCAGAGGAAGACAGACAUAACCUUUGAAUGGGGCAACGCAGAGACUGCCACUGACCUCGACCAGCAGUUUCAGUGGAAUGGCCCAUGGGAAAGAUAACUACAACACUGUUUAACAACAGAGACAUUUGAAGAGGCUGCUAGGAGCGAGAAAAGUUGGAGAGCAGAAGCUGUACAGGGACUGAGUCCCGGGGAGGAGUACCCAGCAACUGGAAUUGGCUGCGUCAUGGGGAGGAGAGUUAGCAAGGUACUAACACUCCAAUUGGCUAACACAUAAUUUCUCUAUGCAGCUUAAGACUUCAGGCAGACAGAUAUGAACACAUGAAGGGAGUAAAAACUCCAACCUCUGGACCACUUCCUGGAGUGCUCCUAACCCAGACUCCCACAGGGCUUCCUCCCAUACUUCAUUUAGGUCUUUGGCUCAAAUGUUACCUCUUUAGAACUGCCUCAAGACUGGGGCAAGAGGAGCCCCAGUCUAGGGCUCUGAGCACCUGAUUCUCUUCCGUCCAUGUUCCUUUCCAUAGGGCAAGAAAUCCCACGGGCCAACGGGAUGUACUCACUCAGAGCUCUUGCCCCUCUCCUUUUUAGAGCAUACUGUGAGUUCCUGGGACCCUAGAAAAUAGUGCCGCAAUAGCAACAGGUCACCAGCUACAGGCUGCCUCAGCCUUUUCCCAAGGUCUAUCCUCCUGAGGAGCAAGGGGUGGUCAAGGGGAGGCUAUUUGCAGGUGUGGACAAAACUCUGAUGUGCAGAUGUCGUUGUUAUAGGUGUGGGCAAAAGGCCAUUUGAAGUAUGGGACAGAGCUGGGGUGCCAAGAGAAGAAGGAAGGCUGAGGGCCAAGGACAUGUUCCCCCUCCAAAGCACUACAUUCGAGGGCGUAUCUCAGAAGGGUCCAAGAAUCCUAAACUUAAAUGUGGCCUUCCAGAUUAUGAUGAAGGUAUACAUGUCAAGAUAAAAGGAUAGGAAUUUUACAUCACCGUUUAAUUUGUAGUUUUAAAAUAUGUAGACAUGAUAUGUGGGCCUCCAUUUGUACUACUGACUCAGUUCUUGCAAAUAUUAAGGGUAGACCUGUCCCUGAUCUUCGUGUGUAAAAUAGCACCUCCUCUGCCACUCUAUUCUUACCCCAGUCUACAUUUCUUCAUAACAUCGGUCACCAUCUGAUCUACAUUUACUUAUGUAUCAUCUCUUUACCCCCACUGGAAUGUAAGUUCCACGUCCCUAGAGUCUAUAUUUUGUUUACUGCCUUAUCCUUAUACCUAAACAAGUGCCUGGCAUGACACCACUCAGUAAAACUUGAAUAAAUGAAUAACAAAUCUAGGCUCAAAGCUCUUACAGGUGAAAGGGGCUAACCUGGCAGUCACAAAGGAAAAAUAUCACUGUGACAACCGUCUGAGGAGCACCUUCUCCCCUUAAAAUAACUCACUCAAAACAGUGGAGCUGCAAAGGUGACCAGAGAAAAUCCAUUAACACCUUAGUGCCCAUGACACCAGAUGGUCAUGGUCAUCAGCAGGGGUGGGUGCAUCGAUCCUGUGGGGUCUUGGUGGUCGCAGACCAAGCGUCCCUCUUCUCACAUCUAAUUCACAACGUCUCAUCGCUCCGCGGGAGCCCAGGAACUGCCCUACAACAGCCGAAAUCCGGGUCGUCUAUUCCAACGGACUCCUCUUCCGUUGGAUACGGGGGCCGUGAGAGGCCAAACAACCUCCGCGAGGCUACCCCCGCAGCGACCGCUCGGCGGGCGCUCCAUUCCUUUACCGGACUGUACACCUCGCCUCCUGGGGCCUGAGGCGGGAACCCGGGUCGCGCUGCUCCGAGGCCUCGGCGGACCGCGAAAGGAUGGCUCACCACCCGGCCAGGGCCAGCCCCUGC
rnacentral:lncRNA from 10 species